UGAAUUUUGAAAGACUAGAAGCCCAACUGAAGGCGUGCCACUGCAGGAUCAUAUUUUCUAAGGCAAAGGUACGGACUUUAUAUUAUUCCCCCUACCUAAUCACAAAGACCAACUUUUACCCUUGACAUUCAGCUUAUAUUUAUCUUUUUCAGCCUUCUGUGCUGGCGCUGGCAAUCAUCGCUUUGGAGAUCCAAGCACUGAAGUAUGUGGAGUUAACAGAAGGAGUAGAAUGUAUUCAGAAACAUUCCAAGAUAAGUGGCCGAGAUCUGACCUUCUGGCAAGAGCUUGUUUCCAAGUGUUUAACUGAAUAUUCAUCAAACAAGUGUUCCAAGCCGAACGGUCAGAAGUUAAAAUGGAUCGUGUCUGGGCGCACUGCACGACAACUGAAGCACAGUUAUUACAGGAUAACCCACCUCCCAACAAUUCCCGAAACCAUGGGAACCGAGUACAUCUGCAAAACCUAAGUCUUAAGGGACGUCAGGAGGUACCUUCAGAAUUAUAGGAUCACCAUGGUAGUGGGGAUUCUCCAUGCUGGCCUUGAAUGUUUGAUCUUCACUGCUGAAAUGUGGGUAGCUCCUCAGCGCCCUGUAGAGCCUGAGUCUACCUAGAAUAGCUGUAACCAUUUUGACAAGUAAUGGAUAAGAAAAUUAUCCAUUGAGAAGCUAAAAACAAAACAAAACAAAACCAAAGAACGGGUGUAUUUUAUUCUUAACCUUUGUAAACCAUCACUGAGAACACUUCAGUUCUUCCUAACAGCUGUUAUGCUUCGAUUUGAAAAAAAUACUGAGUGGAUAACCAACUACCAUCAUGCUUUGGGUACACCUUUCAAUAAAAUUACUGAAAUGCA
rnacentral:lncRNA from 1 species